rnacentral:rRNA from 1 species
AAAGUCCUUCGGGAUGAGUAAAGUGGCGCACGGGUGAGUAACACGUAGGUGACCUGCCGUUUAGUGGGGGAUAACCAGAAGAAAUUUUGGCUAAUACCGCAUACGAUCUACAAAUUUUAAAGUAGUAGAUGAAAGAGUGCCUCUGUAUAUGCACUUACUAAACGAUGGGCCUGCGGUACAUUAGCUAGUUGGUGGGGUAAUGGCCUACCAAGGCGACGAUGUAUAUCCGGUCUGAGAGGAUGAUCGGACACACUGGAACUGAGACACGGUCCAGACUCC